rnacentral:piRNA from 1 species
UUAUCGUAGUUUAUUUUCCAG